rnacentral:rRNA from 1 species
AGUGAACGCUGGCGGUAGGCCUAACACAUGCAAGUCGAACGGCAGCACAGUAAGAGCUUGCUCUUACGGGUGGCGAGUGGCGGACGGGUGAGGAAUACAUCGGAAUCUACUUUUUCGUGGGGGAUAACGUAGGGAAACUUACGCUAAUACCGCAUACGACCUACGGGUGAAAGCAGGGGAUCUUCGGACCCUGCGCGAUUGAAUGAGCCGAUGUCGGAUUAGCUAGUUGGCGGGGUAAAGGCCCACCAAGGCGACGAUCCGUAGCUGGUCUGAGAGGAUGAUCAGCCACACUGGAACUGAGACACGGUCCAGACUCCUACGGGAGGCAGCAGUGGGGAAUAUUGGACAAUGGGCGCAAGCCUGAUCCAGCCAUACCGCGUGGGUGAAGAAGGCCUUCGGGUUUUAAAGCCCUUUUGUUGGGAAAGAAAAGCAGCAGGUUAAUACCCCGCUGUUCUGACGGUACCCAAAGAAUAAGCACCGGCUAACUUCGUG